UGUCAGAGAGCAGGGGCAGAGUGAAGGGACCCUGUUCUUUCUCCCUCAGAAGCCCCAGCUCAACAAACUUCAUGAGGCAACAAACUUUGCUUCAUGUCACAGGUCCACAGAGCUCCCAAGGGACUUUUGGGGACACCUGUCACUCACAGGGUGACAGCCCCAGGCUGUUAAGUGACUGCGGCCUGAUCAUCUCCCAGACGUCCAGCCAGCAGCAGGGCCACAGCCACGGGCCAGCCAGCGGAUGCGUGUG